rnacentral:rRNA from 1 species
UACGUAGGGUGCAAGCGUUGUCCGGAAUUACUGGGCGUAAAGCGCACGUAGGCGGAUUUGUAAGUCAGGGGUGAAAUCCCGAGGCUCAACCUCGGAACUGCCUUUGAUACUGCAAAUCUCGAGUCCGGAAGAGGUGAGUGGAAUUCCUAGUGUAGAGGUGAAAUUCGUAGAUAUUAGGAAGAACACCAGUGGCGAAGGCGGCUCACUGGUCCGGUACUGACGCUGAGGUGCGAAAGCGUGGGGAGCAAACAGG